UGUCAGGAAAAAUAAUAUUAUACAAAUAUCAAAUCCAAGAAGAAUUCUGUUGCAAUCAGGAAAAAAGUUUGUUUCUCUGGUUUUUCCCUAAACCUUGUAACAAGACUACUACUGAAGUUUUUUAACUCAACCCUUUCGGUAGGAAUGAACACUUAAUCCAUUAUAAUUUGGUCCCGACAGUAAUUUAAAAUUUUGGAUCCCAUGGCAUUUGCUUGGGUGUAUAGGCACUCCGGCCCCAAGGUUAGACGACAUUGAGUAUAUUCGAUUGAGAUUCAAGACGAGUCUAUAGACUGGUAAAUCAACUGUUCUGCACGGAUUUGCUCGGAGGUAGAAAGCCUUGCCGUUGAGAGAAGCAUCCAUUUGAUGCAAGGAUAAGUUUGAUGGGGAAAAAAGGGGCAGAGGAGGUGUCGAAGAAACAACAGUUGAAAGCUCCCAAAAGAAGGAAACAAGAAAGAGAGAAGUUGUUAAGCAGAGGAAAAAAGAAAAAUUCGAUGGAAGAGCACCACGUAAAGAACCAGAAACAGGUUCCGAAGGUCGAACUAUCAAAAAAUUGAACCGCACAGGAAGAAAAUGCUAUCAUCAACGAGCUCUUACUCUAGGGAACAGAUAGAUCUUAGCACAUUCUUUCCGCACCGCAUUUUCGAGAAAACAAAGUCACAAGAUUCUCUACAGGAGAAAGAAGACAAGUUAGCUUCUCUAUUUACCAUGGUUGAAAAAAUAUCUACCCAAAUGGAUUUGGUUCUAAAGCAUGUCACAAACAUUGAUACUGAACUCGUAAAUUUUUUCAAGAACUAUAACCGUAUCAUUGGUUACUAGGAAAUAAUUGAGGCUAGACUCGUUCAGCUAGAAAAUUACUCAAUUGAAGAAGGUGAUCAAACAGGUGAUGCGUCUCAAAAAUUUGCGGAAUUUAAAUCCAGGCUUGCGUAGUUUAAUCCUCGUUAGUUGAUUUUUAGUUGAACUACUUCUAGUAGAUGUCUAGUCAUGCAAUCCUUUCAACUUUUUUUUGUUUUUGAUAAAC